UACGUAGGUGACCAGCGUUGUCCGGAUUUACUGGGCGUAAAGAGCGCGCAGGCGGUCGUUCAAGUCGAGUGUGAAAGCCCCCGGCUCAACUGGGGAGGGUCAUUCGAUACUGAUCGACUUGAAGGCAGGAGAGGGAAGUGGAAUUCCCGGUGUAGUGGUGAAAUGCGUAGAUAUCGGGAGGAACACCAGUGGCGAAGGCGACUUCCUGGCCUGUUAUUGACGCUGAGGCGCGAAAGCUAGGGGAGCAAACGGG
rnacentral:rRNA from 1 species